rnacentral:SRP_RNA from 1 species
GAUCCGGACUCAUGCGAUCACAACGCCUAAACCUUGUCAGAACCGGAAGGUAGCAGCAACACGGGAUGCUUGCGGUAGGCGUGAAUUCCGGGUCAUU